UUUGACGUUAGCGACAGAAGAAAGCACCGGCUAACUCCGUGCCAGCAGCCGCGGUAAUACGGAGGGUGCGAGCGUUAAUCGGAAUUACUGGGCGUAAAGCGCAUGCAGGUGGUUUGUUAAGUCAGAUGUGAAAGACCCGGGGCGUCAACCUCGGAAUUGCAUUUGAAACUAGGCAGACUAGAGUACUGUAGAGGGGGGUAGGAAUUUCAGGUGUAGCGGUGAAAUGCGUAGAGAUCUGAAGGAAUACCGGUGGCGAAGGCGGCCCCCUCGGACAGAUACUGACACUCAGAUGCGAAAGCGUGGGGAGCAAACAGGAUUAGAUACCCUGGUAG
rnacentral:rRNA from 1 species